rnacentral:rRNA from 1 species
AUUGUUGGUAGGGUAACGGCUCACCUAGCGACGAUCUUCCUAGCUGGUCUGAGAGGAUCCAGCCACACUGGAACUGAGACACGGUCCAGACUCCUACGGGAUUGGCAGCAGUGGGGAAUAUUGCACAAUGGGCGCAAGCUGAUGCAGCCAUGCCGGCGAGCAUGAAGAGACCAAUUCGAGUUGUAAAGUACUUUCAGCGGGAAGGAAGGGAGUAAAGUUAAUACCUUUACUCAUUGACGUUACCCGCAGAAGAAGCACCGGCUAACCCCGUGCCAGCAGCCGCCGUAAAACGAAGGGUUCAAGCGUUAAUCGAACUACUGGGCGUAAAGCGCACGCAGGCGGUUUGUUAAGUCAGAUGUGAAAUCCCCGGGGCUCAACCUCGGAACUGCAUCUGAUACUGGGCAAGCUUGAGUCUCGUAGAGGGGGGGUAGAAUUCCAGGUGUAGGCGGUGAAAUGCGUCGAGAUACUGGAGGGAAUACCGGUGGCGAAGGCGGGCCCCCUGGACGAAGACUGACGCUCAGGUGCGAAAGCGUGGGGAGCAAACAGGAUUAGAUACCCUGGUAGUCCACGCCGUAAACGAUGACGACUUGGAGGUGUGCCCUCGAGGCGUGGCUUCCGGAGCUAACGCGUUAAGUCGACCGCCUGGGGAGUACGGCCGCAAGGGUUAAAACUCAAAUGAAUCGACGGGGGCCCGCACAAGCGGUGGAGCAUGUGGUUUAAUUCGAUGCAACGCGAAGAACCCUUACCCUGGUCUUGACAAUCCCACGGGAAAGUUUUCAGAGAUGAGAAUGUGCCUUCCGGGGAAACCGUGGAGACAGGUGCUCCAUGACUGGUCGUCAGCUCGUGCUGUGAAAUGUUGGGAUAAGUCCCGCAACUAGGCGCCAACCCAUAUCAUUUGGUGCCAA